rnacentral:rRNA from 1 species
GAUAAACGCUGGCGGUGUGCUUUAUGCAUGCAAGUCGAACGGGUUCCGCAAGGAACCAGUGGCAGACGGGUGAGCAACACGUAAGCGACCAGCCCUAAAGUGGGGAACAACUCCUAGAAAUGGGAGCUAAUACCGCAUGUGAUCUUACUUUUAAACUUGUAAGAUUAAAGCUGUAAGGCGCUUUUGGAGGGGCUUGCGUCCGAUUAGAUAGUUGGUGAGGUAACGGCCCACCAAGUCAACGAUCGGUAGCUGGUUUGAGAGGACGACCAGCCACACGGGGACUGAGACACGGCCCCGACUCCUACGGGAGGCAGCAGCAAGGAAUAUUGGGCAAUGGGCGAAAGCCUGACCCAGCGACACCGCGUGGGGGAAGAAGACCUUCGGGUUGUAAACUCCUUUUAUUGGGGAAGAAUAAUGACGGUACCCGAUGAAUAAGCCCCGGCUAACUACGUGCCAGCCGCCGCCGUAAGAC